UACGUAGGGCGCAAGCGUUGUCCGGAAUUAUUGGGCGUAAAGAGCGUGUAGGCGGUCCGGUAAGUCAGCUGUGAAAGUCAAGGGCUCAACCCUUGAAAGCCGGUUGAUACUGUCGGGCUAGAGUCCGGAAGAGGCGAGUGGAAUUCCCGGUGUAGCGGUGAAAUGCGCAGAUAUCGGGAGGAACACCAAUGGCGAAGGCAGCUCGCUGGGACGGUACUGACGCUGAGGCGCGAAAGCGUGGGGAGCGAACAGG
rnacentral:rRNA from 1 species